AUGCAGUUGAGGAUGAGGCAGGUUUGGGAGGAGGGGUCGGAGGUUUCAGCAGGAAGAAUUGGGAUGGGCGGCAGUAGGUUGUUGUGGAAGGACCAUUUUAGGGUUUGGGAGAGAUUUGUAGAGUUUCGAACAGCGAUGGCGAUGGAAUUGAGAGGAGAUUGUGAUGAAGAUGACGAUGAUUGGUUGUUGAGGAAUUUGAGGGCUUCUUUGAGAACCUAUUUUCCUGUGAAACUUGAAGCUCCUAAGAUUAUGAGUUCGAAUUUUGCAGCAUUUUGUUCCAUUUUUUGA